AAAAAGCUCGUAGUUGGAUUUCGGUUAAGAGCGACCGGUCCGCCGUUUGGUGUGCACUGGUUGGUUUUAACUUCCUGUAGAGGACGUGCUCUGGGCUUAACGGUCUGGACUCGGAGUCUACGUGGUUACUUUGAAAAAAUUAGAGUGUUCAAAGCGGGCUUACGCUUGAAUAUUUCAGCAUGGAAUAACACUAUAGGACUCCUGUCCUAUUUCGUUGGUCUCGGGACGGGAGUAAUGAUUAAGAGGAACAGUUGGGGGCAUUCGUAUUUCAUUGUCAGAGGUGAAAUUCUUGGAUUUAUGAAAGACGAACUUCUGCGAAAGCAUUUGCCAAGGAUGUUUUCAUUAAUCAAGAACGAAAGUUGGGGGCUCGAAGAUGAUUAGAUACCAUCCUAGUCUCAACCAUAAACGAUGCCGACUAGGGAUUGGCGGAUGUUAAUUGAUGACUCCGCCAGCACCUUAUGAGAAAUCAAAGUUUUUGGGUUCCGGGGGGAGUAUGGUCGCAAGGC
rnacentral:rRNA from 1 species